AGCAGGAAGGCUUGAGAUACACAACCCAUAUCUUUAAGGCACUUUCCAUCUGGUGGAGAAACGGAAAUUUUACAGAGGAUGAAACUGAGGCACAGAGAAGUCAAGCGUCUUGUGCAGGGCCAGGAUUGGGACCCACGCAGCCUGCUCCAGAGCCGGGCUCUGACCCUCCACAAGAGCCAUCACUAAAGUUCCACUUACCGCUGCACCUUCAAUCUCUUCCUCUCUCCAUCCCUCCCACAUGUUCACAGACAAAAUCUUCUUCCUUAUUUAAUAAAACAAUAUAAUGACCAGCCUGGCAAA
rnacentral:lncRNA from 10 species